rnacentral:rRNA from 1 species
AGUGGAUGGGGAGCAACCUAGUUGUGCGUGUGUAAAGGUAGUGCCAAGAAAAGCGAUGAUCAUGUUGAAAAUCAAUUCCCGGUACCCGAAACCGACACAGGUGGGCAAGUAGAGAAUACUAAGGGGCGCGAGGUAACUCUCUCCAAGGAACUCGGCGAAAUGACCCCGUAACUUAGGGAGAAGGGGUGCCACCGAGAGGUGGUCGCAGUGAAGAGGCCCAGGCGACUGUUUAGCAAAAACAUAGGUCUCUGCAAACUCGAAAGAGGAGGUAUAGGGGCUGACGCCUGCCCAGUGCCGGAAGGUUAAAGAAGUUGGUCAGUCUUAGGAUGAAGCUAGCGACUGAAGCCCCGGUGAACGGCGGCCGUAACUAUAACGGUCCUAAGGUAGCGAAAUUCCUUGUCGGGUAAGUUCCGACCCGCACGAAAGGCGUAACGAUCUGGGCGCUGUCUCGGAGAGAGGCUCGGCGAAAUAGGAUUGUCUGUGAAGAUACGGACUACCUGCAUUUGGACAGAAAGACCCUAUGAAGCUUUACUAUAGCUUGGAAUUGUGUUCGGGCUUCCUGUGCGCAGGAUAGGUGGGAGGCGUAGAAGGUAUUCUUGUGGGGAUACUGGAGCCAACGGUGAGAUACCACUCUCAGGAGGCUAGAAUUCUAACUUAAUUAAGGACAGUUUCAGGUGGGUAGUUUGACUGGGGCGGUCGCCUCCAAAAAGGUAACGGAGGCGUACAAAGGUUCCCUCAGACUGGUUGGAAAUCAGUCGAAGAGUGCAAAGGCAGAAGGGAGCUUGACUGCGAGAAGUACAGUUCGAGCAGGGUGGAAACACGGUCUUAGUGAUCCGACGGUGCUGUGUGGAAGGGCCGUCGCUCAACGGAUAAAAGUUACUCUAGGAUAACAGGCUGAUCUCCCCCAAGAGUUCACAUCGACGGGGAGGUUUGGCACCUCGAUGUCGGCUCAUCGCAACCUGGGGCGGAAGUACGUCCCAAGGGUUGGGCUGUUCCCCAUUAAAGCGGUACGUGAGCUGGGUUCAGAACGUCGUGAGACAGUUCGGUCCAUAUCCGAUGUAGGCGUGAGAAUAUUGAGAGGAGCCUUCCUUAGUACGAGAGGACCGGGAAGGACGCACCGCUGGUGUACCUGUUAUGAUGCCAAUUGUAAACGCAGGGUAGCCAAGUGCGGAGAGGAUAACCGCUGAAAGCAUCUAAGUGGGAAGCCCACCUCAAGAUGAGUAUUCUGGUGUAAGGUCACGGGAAGACGACCCGUAAAUAGGCACGAGGUGGAAGUGCAGAGAUGUAUGAAGCCGAAGUGUACUAAUAGACCGCCGGCUUGACC